rnacentral:rRNA from 1 species
CACUAUGCCUAGCCCUAAACAUUGAUAAUACCCUACCCAGUUUAUCCGCCCGGGGACUACGAGCGUCAGCUUGAAACCCAAAGGACUUGGCGGUGCUUUAGAUCCACCUAGAGGAGCCUGUUCUAGAACCGAUAAUCCCCGUUCAACCUCACCUUUCCUUGCUCAUUCCGCCUAUAUACCGCCGUCGUCAGCUUACUCUUUGAGGAACCAGCCGUAAGCGCAACUGGUACAACCUAAAACGCCAGGUCGAGGUGUAGCGAAUGGAAAGGGAAGAAAUGGGCUACAUUCAAUAACAAUAAUGCAUACGAACGAUGUCCUGAAAUAAACAUCUGAAGGAGGAUUUAGUAGUAAGUAGAGAGUAGAGUGCUCUGCUGAAGCCGGCCCUGAAGCGCGUACACACCGCCCGUCACUCUCCCCGAGCUAACCAUAAAAAUUAAUAAUAAGCAAAACUUGCAAAGGGGAGGCAAGUCGUAA